AGGUACAAAGUUCAACCACGUUAAACGACUCUAUAGAAAGCAGGAACUUAGUGGUAAGUGAGACUUUACCUUCGGUUGGGGCGACCGCGGAGGAAAAACGAGCCUCCGAGUGGAGUGGGCCAAACCCCUAAAGCUAAUAGAAACAUCUAUAAGCCGCAGAACAUCUGACCAAAAAUGAUCCGACUUAAAAAGCCGAUCAACGAACCAAGUUACCCUAGGGAUAACAGCGCAAUCCUCUCCCAGAGUCCAUAUCGACGAGGGGGUUUACGACCUCGAUGUUGGAUCAGGACAUCCUAAUGGUGCAGCCGCUAUUAAG
rnacentral:rRNA from 1 species